AGCGCAUCUGGUGGAUGCCUUGGCGGCAACAGGCGAUGAAAGACGUAGUAGCCUGCGAUAAGCCUCGGGGAGCUGGCAAACAAGCUUUGAUCCGAGGAUUUCUGAAUGGGGCAACCCACGGCUUAGGCCGUAUCCCGCAAGGGAGGCUAACGCAGGGAACUGAAACAUCUAAGUACCUGCAGGAAAAGAAAUCAACCGAGAUUCCCCUAGUAGUGGCGAGCGAACGGGGAGUAGCCCUUAAGUUUUGUGCGGUUUAGUGGAACAGUCUGGAAAGUCUGGUCAUAGCGGGUGAUAGCCCCGUACACGAAAAACUGCAUGAGAUGAAAUCGAGUAAGGCGAGGCACGUGAAACCUUGUCUGAAUAUGGGGGGACCAUCCUCCAAGGCUAAAUACUCGUUGCCGACCGAUAGUGAACCAG
rnacentral:rRNA from 13 species